UUUGUUUGACUGGUUGUGUAGGGGGAGAUCUUUGCAGAUGUUAAUUGAGUCAUAGUCCUGAUGGAUGCAUUUUGGUUAUGAGCUGCCAUCUUCUAGCUGAAAGCAAACUCGUGUUUUAAGAAAUAACAGCGACAUACCUUCAGAGAUGAAUGUUGUAUCCCCCUACGAACAGCUGAGACAUCAGCCAACUGAGAUGAUCAGAGCAGAGGAAAGAGCCUAAAUCUACCUCUUCUGGAUGCUGCCAGAUUUAAAUGGAGAUGCUGUAUGCUGAGACAGACCAAGGACCUCUCCAGCUAUGUACAGUUUCUCUUCUAGCUCUCUACAAUGUAAAAACCCUAUUUGCAAAUGGAAAGAUGUGUCAUUUUCUGCUAGUGUGAGUGGAAAAUUCUGAGGUUCUUAUACCCGUGGAAGAAAUUGGCACAAGGGCAUACCAUCCAACUGUCCUGACAGGUACAGUCCCAACUGAUCUUCUGUUAUCCCACAUUUUCAGCUGUUUUUAAAAUGUCUCUGUUUCUCUCGCUUCCUCACACUUUUCCCCUUUGUCCUCAGAUUACUUCAAUUGUUGCAAACUAUAGUCAAACACUAAAAGUAGUCUGCACUCAAUUGACUCAGUUUAAGGAGAAAAGGGAGCCCUUCCCAGGAGGCUCAGCCACUCUUAGCUUGUGUCUUUCCCCCACAUUUUAAGUAUUCCUUUCUUGGCCAUACUGAUAUCGCUUGUCCAUGUGUGGCCCAGUUUCCAUCUGUGAAAUGUUAGAGGGUAUGCAAGUAUAUAAAAUGUUCACAGAUGUCACACAACACUCUUCUGUGGGCUUGGAAGGAUUAUGUUAAGUAUUAUAUCAAGUAUUGUACAGACUGAGAGCUGAACUAAACUUUACCCAGUAGCUAAGCAUUUAAGAGGUAAGACACGUUCCCAGCUGAAAGUAUGUAAACUUAAUUGGACUAAUGGGCUAUCACCCCAGUGUGGGGAAGCCUCUCCUUUUUUAAAAGGAUGAUAGAUCAUUAGUCGAUAUAUGUUUACAUACUUUCAGUUAGGCACGUAUCUUAUCUCUAUCCAGGGAGAAUACAGUUAGGCCUCAGUAUCCAUGGAUUUUUCAAUCAUAGAUUCAACCAUCCACAGCUUAAAAAUA